AGAAACAGAAUCAAUGAUCUUGAAAUAGAACUUCAAAGAACAUUUCAUUAUUACCAGGAAGAGAUUGUUUCUGUUCAGAAAGAAACCCACAAUAAUUGGUUGGCAGCUUGUAUUGCUGAAAGAAGCCUGAAUGACUUGAAGCAAGAAAAUAAAAGGAAAAUGUAAGU